CAGUAGCCGCGGUAAUACGGAGGAUCCAAGCGUUAUCCGGAAUCAUUGGGUUUAAAGGGUCCGUAGGCGGUCUUGUAAGUCAGUGGUGAAAGCCCAUCGCUCAACGGUGGAACGGCCAUUGAUACUGCAGGACUUGAAUUAUUGGGAAGUAACUAGAAUAUGUAGUGUAGCGGUGAAAUGCUUAGAGAUUACAUGGAAUACCAAUUGCGAAGGCAGGUUACUACCAAUUGAUUGACGCUGAUGGACGAAAGCGUGGGUAGCGAACAGGAUUAGAUACCCCUGUAGUCCCUGUCUCUUAUAC
rnacentral:rRNA from 1 species